UAAAACACGUGCUUCCAUGCGUUAGCGCAGGUUACCAUCGGUCUAGUCCUUCCACUCUCAAUGGUCUACGUCGUCCAAAGUCGUUUUUCAAUGUGCCAUAGAAUUACAACACCGUCAACUACGUGUACAGGUCUCUAAAUGCUGGUAUAUGGGAUUUUGUCGACCAAUAAAGGCCUUGCACGUAAAACACGUGCUUCCAUGCGUGUGCGCAGGUUACCGUCGGUCAAUUCCUUCCACACUUAAUAGUCUACGUUGUCCAAAGUAGUUUUGCAUUGCGCCAUAGACUUACAACACCGUCAACUACCUGUACACGCCUCUAAAGACCGUUAUAUGGCCUUUUGACGCCUAAAAAAGGUCUUACACGUAAAUCAAGUUGUUGCACGUGCCUGCGCAGGUUACCAUCGGUCUAUUCCUUCCACACUCAUUGGACUACGACGUCCCAAAUCGUUUUUCAAUGCGCCAUAGACUUACAACACCGCCAACAACGUGUACAGGCCUCUAAAGGCCGGUAUAUGUCCUUUUGACGCCUAAAAAGGUCUUACAUGUGAAUCACAUAGUUGCACGUGCCUGCGCAGGUUACCAUCGGUCUAUUCCUUCCACACUCAUUGGACUACGACGUCCCAAAUCGUUUUUCAAUGCGCCAUAGACUUACAACACCGCCAACAACGUGUACAGGCCUCUAAAGGCCGGUAUAUGUCCUUUUGACGCCUAAAAAGGUCUUACAUGUGAAUCACAUAGUUGCACGUGCCUGCGCAGGUUACCAUCGGUCUAUUCCUUCCACUCUCAAUGGUCUACGUCGUCCAAAGUCA